UACAUGGGUAUAGAUGGAAUGUCUUCCAUUUCUCGUGUUCAAUGUUCAAUGUGUUGUAUACAUGGUACGGUAUGACCACCUUAAAUUAUACAGUCAAUGUCCCGCUCAAUAUCAUUUCAUCUGUCAUUGUCCAUUUUUCGAAAAUAAAGAUAGUUAAAUAAAAUGCCUAGAAAAUGUGCAAUGAUAAACUGCUCCAACAGUGGAAAGGGAUUGUCCUUCUUUUCGUUUCCCAAGGAAAGAAAAAGGAGAAUGAAAUGGCUCAUAAACAUGAGGCGAAGUGACCUCAGACACUCCAUGUCACACGAGGAGUUAAUGCAGGGGGGCUACGUUGUCUGUGAACUGCAUUUUGAGGAAUGCUUCCUUAAAAAACACAAUGGAAAGGUGGCACUCACCAGAGAUGCCAUCCCCACACUGGUGGAUUGCGACAACCCGCCACCACUUGCCUCCCCACCUCUUAAAAGGCGAAAAAAAAAAGAAGGUAACAUAACUGAGACCAAGACCAACAUACAAAUAAUUA